GGGACCCGCACAAGCGGUGGAGCAUGUGGUUUAAUUCGAUGCAACGCAAAGAACCUUACCUGGCCUUGACAUCCCAGGAACCCUGAAGAGAUUCGGGGGUGCCGCAAGGAGCCUGGAGACAGGUGCUGCAUGGCUGUCGUCAGCUCGUGUCGUGAGAUGUUGGGUUAAGUCCCGCAACGAGCGCAACCCUUGUCCUUAGUUGCCAGCAUUUAGUUGGGCACUCUAAGGAGACCGCCGGUGACAAACCGGAGGAAGGUGGGGAUGACGUCAAGUCAUCAUGGCCUUUAUGGCCAGGGCUACACACGUGCUACAAUGGUAGAUACAGAGGGAAGCCAACGCGCGAGCGGGAGCCAAUCCCAGAAAAUCUAUCGUAGUCCGGAUUGGAGUCUGCAACUCGACUCCAUGAAGCCGGAAUCGCUAGUAAUCGCAGAUCAGCAUUGCUGCGGUGAAUACGUUCCCGGGUCUUGUACACACCGCCCGUCACACCAUGGAAGUUUACUGCACCAGAAGCAGGUAGCCUGACCGCAAGGGGGGCGCCUACCACGGUGUGGUCAAUGACUGGGGUGAAGUCGUAACAAGGUAGCCGUACGGGAACGUGCGGCUGGAUCACCUCCUU
rnacentral:rRNA from 1 species